CAUCUCCUCACCCGAUUUCCUUCCUUCGUGCCCUACUCCCCUUCUCGACUCAUCAUCGCCACCUCCCCCGCUUCCGUAAAGGCCUGAUCGAUGACGACAGAUGAUGCCAUAGCCGUCAUCGUCGCUAGAGGACAACGCCGUCGGCUUUCCAAUCGCGUUGCUAGGAGACGACGCCACCGACUUUCCCAUCGUCUCUCUAUCGACGCCAUCGUCGCAAGCCCCAUUGAGUCAUGCUCUGGCUCCUGAUCCAUGCCACUGCUCGACGCUGUCACCUCCUUCACGUAAGGCAAGAUCGACGAUGUCGUAGCCGUUGCCAUCGCAAAGGUUGAGCAACCGACCUUCCCUCGAUUUUGAAGCAUAUCUGCCCCAUUCUGGUGCCCUAGCAUCUCCAAAGUCGGCCACUAUCCAUCUGCACCAUCGGUCAUGCCCUAGCUUUGGGUAGCGUCGUUGUCGCCUUCGACGGAGCUCCAAUCGUCGUUUCUCCUACUCCUCGGCGUUGACAGCCAAGCCGAAUCUGACACCGAGCCUUUCCAUAGAACCUUCUUCGUUGAUCACUAGAUUAUUGCUAUAUUUGAGGUAAUCACUCAAUCCUAGCAGUAGCUUUAAGGGUUGGAUGUCAGAUUUUGGACCUUGAGACAUGGUUGGAGAUGUUGAUGCCAUAGUGAGGUUGCCACCGUUGGUACGUCUUCUUCAUGGUUGAUCAUAGCCACCAUUGCUACCAUCCAUUCCAGUAAGCAACUGGUUUCUCCUCUGGAAGAGACAAGGAAGAAGCAGCGAGCCUCCGGCAGGAACAAGCAGUAAGGGUAUUGGUGUUGUAGAUCAGCAAUUAUACCUUACUCCAGCCAUUAAUUCCGACAAUGAUUUUCCCCAUCGACUGGGGCAUCAAAUUCGGGACGUUGUUUCGAGAUGAGCACUUCGAUGCGGGGGAUUGUUUAGCUUGAUCUACAUUUAAGGCGGG